UACGUAGGGGGCAAGCGUUGUCCGGAUUUACUGGGCGUAAAGAGCGCGUAGGCGGAAGGUUAAGUGUGGUUUGAAAGCCCCCGGCUCAACCGGGGAAUGUGAUUGCAAACUGGGCUUCUUGAGUGGGAUAGAGGAGAGUGGAAUUCCUGGUGUAGCGGUGAAAUGCGUAGAGAUCAGGAGGAACACCCGUGGCGAAGGCGGCUCUCUGGGUCGGUCCUGACGCUGAGGCGCGAAAGCGUGGGGAGCGAACGGG
rnacentral:rRNA from 1 species